UGGAGUAUUAUAUCUCCAAAGAAAGGAAUAUUUAUCUUAAAAUGAUUUUAAUAACACACGUUCGUUUAUUUUAAUAUUAAACAAAAUUAAUUACAAUUAAUUUCUAGGGCACAAAAUCUAACUUGGUGGAAAUUCCUAUUGAGUUACGUUAUUUUCUUACCUCUCUUCAAAAACUACCAAAUAAUAUCCUUUUCUUUUAAAUGGAAAUACUCUUAAACAGUCUGAUUUGUCCGCAAUAUUGAAAGCAAAGCGUUAGAUUACAAAAACUAACGGCUGGGCGAGAAGACGUGUUGCAGUGUAAAAAUUUUGUUCCAUUUAAAAACGUAGUUUUCUCGGGUGAAUUGCAUGAUUUUAUGUACUUGCUUGAAAGCAACUGAUUUCUUAUUGUGUUUAUUCCUAAAUUAUCGCUAAACAAGUUUAAUUGCAAGUUUAACAUUGAAUAUUUAAGUAAUAGUUUUGUAUACUCACCCAAAACGUUACGUUCCAUUGAGAAAUUUUGUAACUCAGUGGAACGAAUUGUAACUCAAUGUAAGGGUAAAGGCGCGAUACAUACAAUAAAGUUUUACAAAAAUGGCUUUGACACCAGCAGAACGUAUGAAGAGGUAUCGAGAACGACUAAAACUAAAUCCAGAAAAAUUGGAAAGUAUUAAAAAGAAACACGCUGAAUAUGUAAAAUCUAAAAGCAAAACAGUUAAAGAUCUAACGGAGAAGGAAAAGGAAAAGCAACGAAAAAUUUGGAGUAAUCAGAAACGUAAGCAAAAACAAAAGAAAAAACAGCUUCCAGUUUAGGAAGAAAAAGGUACUAAGAAACCAAAAAAUAGUAAACCAAAGUAAAUUGAUUAAGAAUUAUAAGACUGCUUUAAAAAUAAACCAAAAAUUGACAAAACUA